CCCUUAGAUGUUCUGGGCUGCACGCGCGCUACACUGAUGCGUUCAACGAGUUUACGGCCUUGCCCGAUAGGGUUGGGUAAUCUUCUUAAAACGCAUCGUGAUGGGGAUAGAUUAUUGCAAUUAUUAAUUUUCAACGAGGAAUUCCUAGUAGACGUAGUUCAUCAGACUGCAUCGAUUACGUCCCUGCCCUUUGUACACACCGCCCGUCGCUCCUACCGAUUGAAUGCUCAGGUGAGCCAUUCGGACUUUCAUCAUGCUGGUUUCCAGUUUUGAUGAAGGAAAGUCUUGCGAACCUUAUCAUUUAGAGGAAGGAGAAGUCGUAACA
rnacentral:rRNA from 1 species